rnacentral:lncRNA from 1 species
GAUUCCUGCAUUACCAGUUUUUGGCGAUGGAACAAAUGUAAUUCCAACAAUCCAUGUUCUUGAUCUAGCAGGAGUGAUACAAAACGUCAUAGAUCACGUGCCAAAGCCUCACUACCUGGUUGCUGUGGAUGAGUCUGUUCAUACCCUGGAAGACAUAGUCAAGUGUAUCAGUAAAAAUACUGGCCCUGGGAAAAUCCAGAAAAUACCCAGAGAAAAUGCAUACCUAACCAAGGACUUAACGAUUGUCUUGACCAUUUACUGGUCAACUUAAGAAUGGAAGCGCUCUUUGUGAAGGAGAAUUUUAAUAUUCGAUGGGCUGCCCAAACAGGAUUUGUGGAAA